UGAGGAAUUUUGCGCAAUGGGGGAAACCCUGACGCAGCAACGCCGCGUGGGCGAUGAAGGCCUUCGGGUCGUAAAGCCCUGUCGGGCGGGAAGAACGCUCUUGGUCGAAGGACUGGGGGGUGACGGUACCGCCAGAGGAAGCACCGGCUAACUCCGUGCCAGCAGCCGCGGUAAUACGGAGGGUGCACGCGUUAUUCGGAAUUACUGGGCGUAAAGGGCGUGCAGGCGGGAGCGCAAGUCUGAUGUGAAAGCCCGGGGCUUAACCCCGGAGGGGGG
rnacentral:rRNA from 1 species